rnacentral:lncRNA from 1 species
GUAAGUUUCCUGAGGCCUCCCCAGUCCUGCAGAACUGCUUUGAAGAAGACCACUGCGUCGGUAUUUGUGAAAUGUUUUGAGCCUCUGGAUUUAAAUAAGAUGGAAAACCAAAGCUCAGGGAGUUUUACAUGGGCAGGCAGCUGGUGAGGGCUGAGACUGGAGCCAGGCCAGUGGUCUUCAAAGGCUUUAGUCAAACUUUUUGACAGAUAUAAGAAAACCGAACUAAGGAAAAUACUUUCCUGGGAUCAUCCCUAUAUGAAGUGGCAGACCUGGAAUUGCUCCCUGUUUCAAAACAUGUAAGCUCCUCAAGAACAGGAACUUUUGUCUGUUUGUUCAUUGUUGUAUCUCCAAUCCUUAGAACUAUGCCUGGCUCAAAGUAGGUGCUCAAUAAAAUAUCUGCUGAAUGAACAAAUGCAAUCUAAUCACCAAACUUACUCUGAACGCUCACCAAGUGUGAGGCACUGCUCUUAUGAGAAAAGUAAUGUAAGAGACAUUCUAGUUUGUUUGACUAAACCUCACUCACCACAGAAUACUCACAAAGGGCUGUCCAGAAACAGAAAUGUGAUAAAAGCCUGCAUCCCGAACUUGGUGCCAAAUUUGUACUUUUAGACUUGAGAGGGUAUGGAGCUUCCUAUUCCCUGCCUGUUCCUCUCCUUCAGUCCUCCCUCCAUGGAAAUAAUCAGCCACCACAGCCCAGGAAGAAAGGGAAGCAGUCCCAUACCCCAGGAGCAGGCUGGCCUGCGAUAUCACAUCAGACUCCUGGGAUUCCAGAGAGAAAGGAGUCCCUGAGGCCCUGCAAGUCCACCUACGGGGGCUGUAGAGCUGGAGACCUG